rnacentral:rRNA from 1 species
GACGUAGGGCGCGAGCGUUGUCCGGAUUUAUUGGGCGUAAAGAGCUCGUAGGCGGCUUGUCGCGUCGACUGUGAAAUCCCGCGGCUCAACUGCGGGUCUGCAGUCGAUACGGGCAGGCUAGAGUUCGGUAGGGGAGACUGGAAUUCCUGGUGUAGCGGUGAAAUGCGCAGAUAUCAGGAGGAACACCGAUGGCGAAGGCAGGUCUCUGGGCCGAUACUGACGCUGAGGAGCGAAAGCGUGGGUAGCAAACAGG